UCAUCUUUCAUUUUUUCCCACCCCAAACACGCCUUAACCUCACCCCUAUCUCCUCCAUAUUCUUUUCUGUGAUAAACCUUAUGCGCCACAGUAGAUUUCUCUCUCUUCCAUCGCCAAAAAUGGCAACGAUACAGAGGGAUCAGGUUUCACGUGAUCCUAGUACGCCUAAAUCAAGUAGAACAAUCAAUGCUUUGUACGAACUCUUGGUGUAUACAUCAAACAAGGUAAUUUCAAUCUCAUUUCCCUUUUUUCUUUCUGUGAUUUCUCAGUCAAAGACGUAAGGGCAUGGAUCUGAACCAAGUGACCUCGAUUUUCAUUAGUCGAAUCUCAUUUGACUUGGAUCGAGGUGAACUGGCCAAGUUCAAACCCUUCAUCAUUGUUUAGUGAAGAUCUAAGCCGUUCGUUUCAAAGUAAAGCACAAAUUUUAGGAAAAACUUACCAGUCCCACAUCGAUGGACUAGGGUGUUGAUAUCUUUUAGGGGUUCUAUAGAACCCCAUCCUUCGAGUUUUAAAAAGUUUGAAAAUUGCAUAGCUUGAAUUUUGAGAAAACCACUCGAGAUUAAAGCUUUCAGUAAAAUUUUGUUUAGACUUGACUGUGAAGUUGGGUCUUUAGUUCAAAAAUUGAUUUAUUUUUGCCUUUUCUUGUGCGGCUGAGUUCGAGAAUUGGAAGCACAGAGGCUCCAAGUCCAUUCUUCCUCCGCUUGCACAUCAAAAAGGUCUGAAGCCAACCGGUUGGCCCAAGGCCCAAUAGGAAAUUCCUUCACAUUUAUCGAGUCCGGUGAACAAAAGGAAUCUAAUAUUAAAGAAAUGUGUACAAGGUCCAGCCAUGGGUGAAAAUGGCCAACUAGGGGCUUUGGUUGCGCCCCUAGCCUUCCCUCUUCUUUUUACUUUAUUUAGUUUUUUACGUUUUUUUCUUUAUUUGUGAAGUUUGUAGUGUUGUGUAAAAAUUUGUAAAACUCAUAUAUUAUUGGAAUCUUUUAUGAUUAUGAACUAGUAAUCUUAGGACAACGGUACUUAUUUUGAAAAUCCACAAGGAGUAUGUUAUACCAUCGUGUGAUUUUGAAAAUCCAUUUUUUCUUUCUAUUUUAAUUUGUUGUGAAGAUCCUCGUUUAUUCCUAAUGACAUUCUUUAUGCUUAAUCCCCCCCCCUUUUUUUUUUUUUUGGAAAAUUACUUUUGAAUGACGGAAACCAAAUCAUAACUUGAUAAAAAAAACCUGGGCCGAGCCCAGUAGAAGGACAUGACUGUUUUUGGGGCUCAGACCCAUUUGGGGGAAAAACAUUUUUGAAACUAAAAGAAAAGAGACCGAAUCUCACAAAACACAAGUUUUUGGGAUAAAGUCCAAAACUGGAAAACUUCUUUUGAAAUCAAAGAUAUAUUUUUAAAAGCCCAAAAUCCGAAAAAAUCAGUAUGUGCACUCGUUUUAUACAGUAAAAAAUGGACCAGUUUAUAAGUCAAAGGGGCGUUCAAAUAAUAAUCCAUUCGUAAAUAUAAAGGUUUUAUAUAAAAACGUUCUAACGUAUUAUACAAAAUGACCCGAAGCGAAGUAUGAGGAUAAGGGCAAACAGAAUGACACUUAUUAUUCAUAAGAUAAAACAUUUUUUUAUACCUAUAUGAAAAAGAUAUACUAUCCUUAUACAUAAAAGGAAAAUAUUUGUAUCCGGAUAUUAUAAAUCCGAAUCUGAAUACCCCAUAUAUAAGGGGAAUAUAUUCCACUCUUUUCAAAAUCAAAUGAUAUGCAAUAUAUGAAAGUCUUUUUUUUUUAAUGAGGGAAUAAACACUAAAUAAACAGUUUAUGCAAAUACUCAUAUAUUGGAAUUCAAAGGUCAACCGUAUAGUACGGAUCCUUAAUACUAGGGUGCCUAAUACCUUCCCUAGGGGAUCAUCAGAAGCCUUAUCUAGAACUUUGGAUUACGAAGGAUUUUUCACGGUGUAUGAAUAAAUCCUUCACCAUUGAUUUUUCUAAUUUCCUAAAAAUUAGGUAGCGACUCUUUUUCAAAACAAAGUCCGAAAGAGCACCAACACGUUUGAAGUACCUUUCCGAAUGACAAUCUCGCCCGCAAAAUGUGAACUGUAACAAGUACCAUUUGGACAAUUCUCAUGUGAUUCAGUGAGAGCCGGUAGCUAUUUAGGAUAGACAGGUUCAAAAGUUGAGAUCAAAAGAAAUAGCCUCUGUUGAAGUGCAAUGGAGGCAUCGUCCAGUUGAGGAUGCUACUUGGGAGACCUAGUUGGAUAUGCGGGCUAGAUAUCCCCAGCUUUUCGAGCGUUCAAGAAUGGGUGACACGGUCCCCCAAGCACUAUGGCAGGUUUUGGAUUGAAUUUAGUGAAAUUGGAAGAUUUUAAGUUUAGGAAAUGAAAUGGUUUGACCAAUGUCAACAUCAAGGAUAAAUGCAUCUUUUUAAAGUUUCGUCGAUUCCAUUAGGUCUGGAAUGUGAUUUAUGACUUAGGCCUUAUUUGUUUUCAUUAAGAUUAAGACGUUUGAAU